UAGCUCGGCGAAAGCCGGAUUAAUACCGCAUAAGCUCUGAGGAGGAAAGCGGGGGACCGUAAGGCCUCGCGCGUUUGGAGCGGCCGAUGGCAGAUUAGGUAGUUGGUGGGGUAAAGGCUUACCAAGCCUACGAUCUGUAGCUGGUCUGAGAGGACGACCAGCCACACUGGGACUGAGACACGGCCCAGACUCCUACGGGAGGCAGCAGUGGGGAAUUUUGGACAAUGGGCGAAAGCCUGAUCCAGCAAUGCCGCGUGCAGGAUGAAGGCCUUCGGGUUGUAAACUGCUUUUGUACGGAACGAAAAGGCGCCUACUAAUACUGGGUGUUGAUGACGGUACCGUAAGAAUAAGCACCGGCUAACUACGUGCCAGCAGCCGCGGUAAUACGUAGGGUGCAAGCGUUAAUCGGAAUUACUGGGCGUAAAGCGUGCGCAGGCGGUGUUGUAAGACAGUUGUGAAAUCCCCGGGCUCAACCUGGGAACUGCAUCUGUGACUGCAAUGCUGGAGUGCGGCAGAGGGGGAUGGAAUUCCGCGUGUAGCAGUGAAAUGCGUAGAUAUGCGGAGGAACACCGAUGGCGAAGGCA
rnacentral:rRNA from 1 species